GUGGUUUUAUCUUGGAGUUGGAGCGGCUUGUGUAAAAGGCACGUGGAAGUUUUUCUCAGAACCCUUCUUACAUAGUGGGUUGGUCUGCCCCCCAGAAGCUAAAAUUAAGUUCAUGCUUGACAGUUAAAUACUAGGACAUCUAAUCGGACAGAAGCAUCUUCUGCUACUUCUGAUAAGACUCGUGCUGAAGCAGUAUUUGACGGUAGUGGGAACGCCAGAUCAAUUAUGCCAUCACCGUGAAGUGUUGCGAUUGCGGAUUGCUAGAGUGAAUGGCUUGGCAGGCUUCGACUCCAAAUUUGAGAGCAGCAGAUCCAAGGCCAAUCUAUGGAUCCCCUUCGACCAAAUCUGUUUAUAUGGCAAAUCAGGCUGAUUUGGAUUUGGGAAAGAAACUGCCAGAGUCGGAAGUAAGUCCCUUUGACGGGAUUAGGAUCAAAGAAAUAAGGUAAAAUAAUUAUGUUAUUCGAUAUUCCUACCCAAACAUAUAUUUUUUUUGUCAUCCAUUCGGGAUUAUUUGUAUUCCAUUAUCUACAAUUUUGUUUAUUUACUGUACAACAGUAGCUGACAAUGACUGAUAAUACUUUUCUUCUUUUAAAAAACGCCAAGCUGUUGGCUAUUGGCAGGUUGGCUUACAUCAUCGAUCGACGAUCUUUUACAUACCCUGUUUCUAUAAAUUUUCUCUCAAUUUCUCUCUCAACCAAUAUGCAACUUCUUCUUGAGUUCUCGUUUUAUUUAGA